rnacentral:tRNA from 1 species
AGCCCUGUAGUACAGCGGUCAAGUAUGCGAGGCUUUGGACCUCGUGACCCAGGUUCGAAUCCUGGCAGGGCUA